ensembl:snRNA U6 U6 spliceosomal RNA
AUACUCACUUCAGCAGCACAUAUACUAAAAUUGGAAUGAUACAAAGAUUAGCAUGGCCCGUGCUCAGGGAUGAAUUUGUGAAGCAUUCCAAAUUUUU